rnacentral:rRNA from 1 species
GUGAGUAACACGUGAGCAACCUGCCCUAGGCUUUGGGAUAACCCCGGGAAACCGGGGCUAAUACCGAAUAUGACUUCUGGUCGCAUGACCGGUGGUGGAAAGUUUUUCGGCCUGGGAUGGGCUCGCGGCCUAUCAGCUUGUUGGUGGGGUGAUGGCCUACCAAGGCGACGACGGGUAGCCGGCCUGAGAGGGCGACCGGCCACACUGGGACUGAGACACGGCCCAAACUCCUACGGGAGGCAGCAGUGGGGAAUAUUGCACAAUGGGCGGAAGCCUGAUGCAGCGACGCCGCGUGAGGGAUGACGGCCUUCGGGUUGUAAACCUCUUUCAGCAGGGACGAAGCGUAAGUGACGGUACCUGCAGAAGAAGCGCCGGCCAACUACGUGCCAGCAGCCGCGGUAAGACGUAGGGCGCGAGCGUUGUCCGGAUUUAUUGGGCGUAAAGAGCUCGUAGGCGGCUUGUCGCGUCGACUGUGAAAACCCGCAGCUCAACUGCGGGCCUGCAGUCGAUACGGGCAGGCUAGAGUUCGGUAGGGGAGACUGGAAUUCCUGGUGUAGCGGUGAAAUGCGCAGAUAUCAGGAGGAACACCGGUGGCGAAGG